UCAGAGAAACAACUAAGCUAUUUGCUUAGGGC
rnacentral:piRNA from 1 species